rnacentral:piRNA from 1 species
UAGAUUUGCUAACCGUAUAUU